UACGUAGGGUGCAAGCGUUAAUCGGAAUUACUGGGCGUAAAGCGUGCGCAGGCGGUUUUGUAAGACAGAGGUGAAAUCCCCGGGCCCAACCUGGGAACUGCCUUUGUGACUGCAAGGCUUGAGUGCGGCAGAGGGGGAUGGAAUUCCGCGUGUAGCAGUGAAAUGCGUAGAUAUGCGGAGGAACACCGAUGACGAAGGCAAUCCCCUGGGCCUGCACUGACGCUCAUGCACGAAAGCGUGGGGAGCAAACAGG
rnacentral:rRNA from 1 species